UACAGAGGGGGCUAGCGUUGUUCGGAAUCACUGGGUGUAAAGGGUGCGUAGGCGGUCCGUUAAGUCUGAUGUGAAAGCCCUGGGCUCAACUCAGGAAUGGCAUUGGAAACUGGCGGGCUUGGAGUACGGGAGAGGGAAGCGGAAUUCCUGGUGUAGCGGUGAAAUGCGUAGAUAUCAGGAGGAACACCGGUGGCGAAGGCGGCUAUCUGGACAGAAACUGACGCUGAGGCGCGAAAGCUAGGGGAGCAAACAGG
rnacentral:rRNA from 1 species